rnacentral:misc_RNA from 1 species
UACGGAGGGUGCAAACGUUGCUCGGAAUCAUUGGGCGUAAAGCGCACGUAGGCGGACUGCUAAGUCGGAUGUGAAAUCCCUCGGCUUAACCGAGGAAGUGCAUUCGAAACUGGCAGUCUUGAGUACGGAAGAGGGUCGCGGAAUUCCCGGUGUAGAGGUGAAAUUCGUAGAUAUCGGGAGGAACACCAGUGGCGAAGGCGGCGACCUGGGCCGAUACUGACGCUGAGGUGCGAAAGCGUGGGGAGCAAACAGG